CUGGGGCUGGAGCAGGUCCCAAGGGUUCGGCUGUUCGCCGAUUAAAGUGGUACGUGAGCUGGGUUUAGAACGUCGUGAGACAGUUCGGUCCCUAUCUGCCGUGGGUGUAGGAGACUUGAGAGGAGCUGCCCCUAGUACGAGAGGACCGGGGUGGACGCACCACUGGUGGACCAGUUGUCGCGCCAGCGGCACAGCUGGGUAGCUAUGUGCGGAAGGGAUAACCGCUGAAGGCAUCUAAGCGGGAAGCCCCCCUCAAAACCAGGUCUCCCUGAGGGCCGUGGAAGACCACCACGUCGAUAGGCCGGAAAUGUAAGUGUGGCGACACACUCAGUUGACCGGUACUAAUCGCCCGAUAGGCUUGAUCCGAUCCAG
rnacentral:rRNA from 1 species